CGGAAGUAGAUACACAAGCUGUCUUAAGGUAGUACAGUUUGUCACAACAACUUCCAACAGUAAGACACCUUCUGAUGACCGUAGGUUCUCAAGCUUUUCCUACGGACAGAUACGGGGUGGAUAUAA